rnacentral:lncRNA from 1 species
UCUCUGCGGCCAUCAUGGGAUCGUGCUCUUCUCGCUCGUUGAGCUGGUCCCUUCGCCGUGGCCUGCUGGUGACGGUCUGGAGCGAUGCUGAGCCCGGGCCCAGCCUCUCAGCUCCGCCUUGUGCGCUGCACAGAUCUAGGGGAGCCUGACGGGACGUUGACAACGUGGAAUAGGAGCAGUAUCAUCCCACCAUGAGGUUGGGGAUUUAAGAGUGGAAGAUUGCCAACAGCUGUGGCCUCCCAUGAGGGUGUCCCCUUUCAAGUUCUCAGAACGGACGCAGGACUGCAGAUCUGUGCUGGCAGCAGCAGAGGUGAGUUGGUCUGUACAGUGACUAUCUGUUAUUACUCUGAGAGAUAUCAAAUGAUGAUAUCACCUAAAAUAGCUGGAAUUACCGGCAGAUUGGUAGUGGUGAGCCUAUGGUUUUCUGAAGAUAUCAUUAAAUGUUCUAAAUGCCAUUGAUCCAGGCAGGAGUGAUUCUGAAAUUCAGCUCUUUUGCAGGCUAUAUUCCCAGAGGAGUCUCCAGCCGGCCUGAAAGCAAAUAUCCUAAGUGACAUGUCUGCCAAUUUUGUUCUGGGUGGGCACAUUUGGUAAUCCUGUCUGUACCACAGGAUCUUCUAUGCCUUUUAAAAAUAAACAUUUGUUUAUAAACCAGA